rnacentral:rRNA from 1 species
AUUGAACGCUGGCGGCAGGCUUAACACAUGCAAGUCGAGCGGAGCGAGGGUGCUUGCACCUUAGCUUAGCGGCGGACGGGUGAGUAAUGCUUAGGAAUCUGCCUAUUAGUGGGGGACAACAUUCCGAAAGGAAUGCUAAUACCGCAUACGCCCUACGGGGGAAAGCAGGGGAUCUUCGGACCUUGCGCUAAUAGAUGAGCUUAAGUCGGAUUAGCUAGUUGGUGGGGUAAAGGCCUACCAAGGCGACGAUCUGUGGCGGGUCUGAGAGGAUGAUCCGCCACACUGGGACUGAGCAGCGGCCCAGACUCCUACGGGAGGCAGCAGUGGGGAAUAGUGGACAAUGGGCGGAAGCCUGAUCCAGCCAUGCCGCGUGUGUGAAGAAGGCCUUAUGGUUGUAAAGCACUUUAAGCGAGGAGGAGGCUCUUUUGGUUAAUACCCAAGAUGAGUGGACGUUACUCGCAGAAUGAGCACCGGCUAACUCUGUGCCAGCAGCCGCGGUAAAAC